rnacentral:rRNA from 1 species
UACGAAGGGAGCUAGCGUUGUUCGGAAUCACUGGGCGUAAAGCGCACGUAGGCGGGUUUGUCAGUCAGGGGUGAAAUCCCGGAGCUCAACUCCGGAACUGCCUUUGAUACAGCAAGUCUUGAGUUCGAGAGAGGUGGGUGGAAUUCCUAGUGUAGAGGUGAAAUUCGUAGAUAUUAGGAAGAACACCGGUGGCGAAGGCGGCCCACUGGCUCGAUACUGACGCUGAGGUGCGAAAGCGUGGGGAGCAAACAGG